CACACACACACACACCCACCCUGUCAAGAGUAGUGCCAUCUGUAGCAGCACUAAUGACCUGGCUCCACUCUGCUGCCUUCACAAGGAGACUGGCUGUGAGUGUGUGAACUUAGGGUGAACUGGUGACUCUAGUCUGUCCUCUGGUUCCUGUCACCUAGCUGUUUGUUUGUUCUCUCUCCCCUCUAACUUUCACUGCUGUUCUCUAGGAACUUCCCUCUAGCCUUUAUCUGAACUCUUACAAGACUGGAGUGUCUCCUCUCUAACCUAUUAGCUAGCCUGGCUGCUACUAUCAUUUAUCCCUGUUCAGAGCUGGCUGUCAAACUAAAGGUUCAAAUCCAUUUUUAUUGGUCACACACACAUGGUAAGCAGAUGUUAAUGCGAGUGUAGCGAAAAGCUUGUGCUUCUAGAUCCGACCAUGCAGUAAUAUCUAACAAGUAAUCAAACAAUUGCACAACAACUACAUCAUACAAACAAGUGUAAAUUAAUGAGUAAGAAUAUGCACAUAAAAAUAUAUGGAUGAGCGAUGGCCAAACGGCAUAGGCAUGAUGCAGUAGAUGGUAUAGAGUACAGUAUAUACAUAUGAGAUGAUUAAUGUAGGGUAUGUAAACAUUAUGUAAAGUGGCAUUGUUUAAAGUGGCAAAUGAUACAUUUAUUACAUCCAAUUUUUCAUUAUUAAAGUGACUAGAGAUGAGUCAAUAUCUUGGCAGCAGCCACUCAAUGUUAGUGAUGGCUGUUUAACAGUCUGAUGGCCUUGAGAUAGAAGCUGUUUUUCAGUCUCUCGGUCCCAGCUUUGAUGCACCUGUACUGACCUCGCCUUCUGGAUGAUAGCGGGGUGAACAGGCAGUGGCUCGGGUGGUUGUUGUCCCUGAUGAUCUUUUUGGUUUCUCCCUGUUUAGAGCUGGCUGUUUAAACUAAAUGUUUCUCCCUGUUCAGAGCUGGCUGUUUAAACUAAAUGUUUCUCCCUGUUCAGAGCUGGCUGUUUAAACUAAAUGUUUCUCCCUGUUCAGAGCUGGCUGUUUAAACUAAAUGUUUCUCCCUGUUCAGAGCUGGCUGUUUAAACUAAAUGUUUCUCCCUGUUCAGAGCUGGCUGUUUAAACUAAAUGUUUCUCCCUGUUCAGAGCUGGCUGUUUAAACUAAAUGUUUCUCCCUGUUCAGAGCUGGCUGUUUAAACUAAAUGUUUCUCCCUGUUCAGAGCUGGCUGUUUAAACUAAAUGUUUCUCCCUGUUCAGAGCUGGCUGUUUAAACUAAAGGUUUCUCCCUGUUUAGAGCUGGCUGUUUAAACUAAAGGUUUCUCCCUGUUUAGAGCUGGCUGUUUAAACUAAAGGUUUCUCCCUGUUUAGAGCUGGCUGUUUAAACUAAAGGUUUCUCCCUGUUUAGAGCUGGCUGUUUAAACUAAACGUUUCUCCCUGUUUAGAGCUGGCUGUUUAAACUAAAGGUUUCUCCCUGUUUAGAGCUGGCUGUUUAAACUAAAGGUUUCUCCCUGUUUAGAGCUGGCUGUUUAAACUAAAGGUUUCUCCCUGUUUAGAGCUGGCUGUUUAAACUAAAGGUUUCUCCCUGUUUAGAGCUGGCUGUUUAAACUAAAGGUUUCUCCCUGUUUAGAGCUGGCUGUUUAAACUAAAUGUUUCUCCCUGUUUAGAGCUGGCUGUUUAAAGGUUUCUCCCUGUUUAGAGCUGGCUGUUUAAACUAAAGGUUUCUCCCUGUUUAGAGCUGGCUGUUUAAACUAAAGGUUUCUCCCUGUUUAGAGCUGGCUGUUUAAACUAAAGGUUUCUCCCUGUUUAGAGCUGGCUGUUUAAACUAAAGGUUUCUCCCUGUUCAGAGCUGGCUGUUUAAACUAAAUGUGUCUCCCUGUUUAGAGCUGGCUGUUUAAAGGUU